rnacentral:rRNA from 1 species
UCCAGACUCCUACGGGAGGCAGCAGUGAGGAAUAUUGGUCAAUGGGCGGAAGCCUGAACCAGCCAAGUCGCGUGAGGGAAUAAGGCCCUACGGGUCGUAAACCUCUUUUGCCGGGGAGCAAGGGCGGGGACGUGUCCCGGCCCGGAGAGUGCCCGGAGAAAAAGCAUCGGCUAACUCCGUGCCAGCAGCCGCGGUAAUACGGAGGAUGCGAGCGUUAUCCGGAUUUAUUGGGUUUAAAGGGUGGGUAGGCGGGCUUUUAAGUCGGCGGUAAAAGCCCGGGGCUCAACCCGGGCGAGCCGUUGAAACUGUCGGACUAGAGACGGCGAGAAGUACGCGGAAUGCGCGGUGUAGCGGUGAAAUGCAUAGAUAUCGCGCAGAACUCCGAUUGCGAAGGCAGCAUACCGGCGCCCGACUGACGCUGAGGCACGAAAGCGUGGGUAUCGAACAGGAUUAGAUACCCUUGUACU